UCAAAAUCCUGGCCAAACAGCCGGAAUACGCGGCCAAAGACCAGCGGCGCCGCCGCGCCCCCUCUCGGUUUUUGCAUCCGACGAGGCCCUUCCCGGCCUCCGUUCGAUGCGAUUUUUAUAUCACCGUGAUCACCAUUCUUUUCUCUACAGGUUGACCGGAGCCGAAUCACCAAAACACGAACCUCGCCGGAGAGCCGCCGCACCCGAGAGCGCCGCCGCCGGUAAGCUCCGUUUUUCCGUGAUUUUUUUGGCCCCCCGAGGGCCCUAGG
rnacentral:lncRNA from 1 species